GUCAAAGAGCGCGUUGAAGUUCGAGAGCGUGGAGAAGGGCGAGACUCAGGUGGUUUCCGGCACCAAUUACCGGCUGAUCUUGGUCGUCAAGGACGGACCUUCGACCAAGAAAUUUGAAGCUGUCGUUUGGGAGAAGCCGAGGGAGCAUUUCAAGAGUCUCACCUCGUUUAAGCCUUUUAAGCCUAUGGUUGGGGGAUGGAAGCCGAUAGAGGACCUCAAGGAGAAGCACGUGAUGGAGAUCGGGCAGUUCGCGGUGACGGAGUACAACAAACGGUCAAAGAGCACGUUGAAGUUCGAGAGCGUGGAGAAGGGCGAGACUCAGGUGGUUUCCGGCACCAAUUACCGGCUGAUCUUGGUCGUCAAGGACGGACCUUCGACCAAGAAAUUUGAAGCUGUCGUUUGGGAGAAGCCAUGGGAGCAUUUCAAGAGUCUCACCUCGUUUAAGCCUUUUAAGCCUAUGGUUGGGGGAUGGAAGCCGAUAGAGGACCCCAAGGAGAAGCAUGUGAUGGAGAUCGGCCAGUUCGCGGUGACGGAGUACAACAAACGGUCAAAGAGCGCGUAAAAGUUCGAGAGCGUGGAGAAGGGCGAGACUCAGGUGGUUUCCGGCACCAAUUACCGGUUGAUCUUGGUCGUCAAGGACGGACCUUCGACCAAGAAAUUUGAAGCUGUCGUUUGGGAGAAGCCAUGGGAGCAUUUCAAGAGUCUCACCUCGUUUAAGCCUUUUAAGCCUAUGGUUGGGGGAUGGAAGCCGAUAGAGGACCCCAAGGAGAAGCAUGUGAUGGAGAUCGGCCAGUUCGCGGUGACGGAGUACAACAAACGGUCAAAGAGCGCGUUGAAGUUCGAGAGCGUGGAGAAGGGCGAGACUCAGGUGGUUUCCGGCACCAAUUACCGGUUGAUCUUGGUCGUCAAGGACGGACCUUCGACCAAGAAAUUUGAAGCUGUCGUUUUGGAGAAGCCAUGGGAGCAUUUCCAGAGUCUCACCUCGUUUAAGCCUAUGCCUAUGCUUGGGGGAUGGAAGCCGAUAGAGGACCCCAAGGAGAAGCAUGUGAUGGAGAUCGGGCAGUUCGCGGUGACGGAGUACAACAAACGGUCAAAGAGCGCGUUGAAGUUCGAGAGCGUGGAGAAGGGCGAGACUCAGGUGGUUUCCGGCACCAAUUACCGGUUGAUCUUGGUCGUCAAGGACGGACCUUCGACCAAGAAAUUUGAAGCUGUCGUUUUGGAGAAGCCAUGGGAGCAUUUCAAGAGUCUCACCUCGUUUAAGCCUAUGCCUAUGCUUGGGGGAUGGAAGCCGAUAGAGGACCCCAAGGAGAAGCACGUGAUGGAGAUCGGGCAGUUCGCGGUGACGGAGUACAACAAACGGUCAAAGGGCGCGUUGAAGUUCGAGAGUGUGGAGAAGGGUGAGACUCAGGUGGUUUCCGGCACCAAUUACCGGUUGAUCUUGGUCGUCAAGGACGGACCUUCGACCAAGAAGUUUGAAGCUGUCGUUUGGGAGAAGCCAUGGGAGCAUUUCAAGAGUCUCACCUCGUUUAAGCCUAUGGUUAAAUAGGGUGUUUAACAAAUAACAAAUGCAUGUAAUCUCAGUAGACAUCAAUCUUUUAAUACCAUAUUUAAUGGUUAUUCUAUUUUGUUUAAUUAAAUAAAUGAUAGGUAUACUAUUACCUAUCAAUCAUGGCAAUGUCUUAGUCUGUUUUAGUUCAACUUAUAAGAUUUUUUGAGAUGUACAAAAAAUCUUUUUGUUUACUUUUGAGCCAAAUAUUUUCUUGAAAAAGGAAAUAAAUCAAUAAAAAUUAUUGUAUGUGUCAACAUAUUGGUUAUAUUAGUCUAUACACGUCGUCUUUAAUUACCAUAUCUCCUAAAUAUUUUACUUUUUUUGAAACAAACUCAAAAAUUUGUUGUAUAAAAAACACUAUCACUUUCAAUCAUAACGUCCUCCUGGUCCUCCAUUGGGGAUAUUAUAGUGUGUCAUUCUGUAACCCAGAACUAUCAUUUCUUCCACCUCUAAGAUAUCUUGUAAUGUUACUUGCAGCUUCAUAAGCCACAGAAACAUCAUCAAAAUCAACAAAUUGUUUUCUUUUCUUUUUUUUUAGGAAAGUAAUAAGAAAAAUAAAAGCUGCAUUAUUCUGUUUAUGAUCAAUAGAAGAAUUCAAGUGACUGGAGAAAAUUCAGAUUGUUGAAAAUGGGCUCUCAAACGAGAUAAGCCUCAGGUAGUAGACCUCACCAACAUCAGUACCAGACUCAAUCCAUAGAAUCGGUCUCGUCUUAAGCCUAACAGCUCCCUUCUAAUAUAAUCUAGUGAGAACGGUGAGAUGCUUGGUAUAUCAUACACCAAAAAUCAACGAUGCUUGGACUUUCAAGAAAAAGAGAAAAACAAAUGCAUGCACGGGGAAACGUACUAAUUAAAAGCAAAUCAUAUAAUUUACAAAUUAUUAUAGGCUUGUAGCCAUAAGAUCGAGAGAAACUAAAACAUUUCUUGCAUUUUCUGGCCAUAUUUUCUAAAUGAAGGGAUGGUCCAUUGCUGCUCCGCCAUACUGGAUCUCAAGAUGUCAUUAACAAUAGGUCUCAAGAUGUCACUAACAAGGUGUCACUCUGAUACCGACAGGUCUACCACUUAGACAUAACACUUGCCAUAUAAAAUGUUCUCCUAUUUUCGCUAUUUCCUUCGUAUCUUGUGAUUAACGGAACAAUUAGGGAUUUAUGUGCUUCUUAUUAUUAUUAUUAUUAUUAUUAUUUUCCCUAUAUUAAACAAGUAGUCAUUUAUGAAUUUUGAGUGAAAAAUUCACUCGGCUGUGGCAGAUUUUGUGCCUUACAAGUAGUCGAUUUCACGCAUUCAUCAUCACCAUUACUAUGUUCAUUAUUAUUUGCUAUUGUUUUUUACUUUUUCUGCUGUUAUUGAUUAAAUUGGCAUUAAAUUUAUGUCUUGUCCAUUACAAGACUUAACAAUAUAAUCCAGUUGUAAAAUGGACACUACAGAUGAUACAAGUGAGCAAGACCUAGUCAGAGAGCGUAGUACACUUUUUGUAAGUAUAAAUUAAUUGAUAUCUUUCGAGUUGUUAUGUUAGCGACCAUUUUAAAAACACUUCUGUAUUCGAAUUUUGGUUACGUUGAAGUGAAGGGGAUUGAGUUGCCAUUAAAAAUUAAAGUAUUUUGGUCUUUAUAAACAAAGCGCUUUUGUGGAAUAGAUCUAAGAAGAUGCUAAUCUUCUUAAUAAAAUUAAAAAAAAAAAUCUAUUACUCUUGGUGCAACAAAUUUCCUAGUCCCAAAACCUUGUCAUAGAAAAAAAAAAAAAAAAGAAAACAGAAAAAGAGUGAAAAUAUCUUAGGGCAACCAAAUUACUCAAAUUCGUAAAAUAAUAUAAUACUUGAACCUUAAAAAUAAAAGCUCUAUAUAUUACUAUAUAAACAGUGAUAAACACAAUUAAGAAAUUGCUAUCUAAGUCCACUCGAAAUUUUAUCAUACAGUCGUAUAUUUAUCACCUUAUGUACAGUGGCGGACCUGCACGUGGGCUAGACCGGGCUGUAGCCCAGUCUAGUUUAAAAAAAUCAUUUACACCCCUUACGUUUUUAAUAAUUUAGUAAAAUAAUUGAGUUUUCAUUUUAUUUUCAUAUAUGUCCCUAACUCAACUACCCUUACAUUUUCAUCAAUUUAGUAUAACAAUAGAGUUUUCAUUUUAUAUUUAAAUAUGUCCCUAACUCAAUUACCCAUAUGUUUUCAUUAAUUUUAUAUAAUAAUAGAGUUUUUAUUUUAUUUAUAAAUGUGUCCCUAAGUCAAUUAUAUUAUUUUCAAUUGAAAUUAGUGACUUAUUUUAUAAAAUGAUUAAAUUAUAUAUUUAUUGAAUAGAUUGAAAACAUUAGGGUGUUAAAAUUUUAUUACUGCUUUAAUUUAUUUUAAAAAGCUUCUAAUUAAAAAAUAUAUAUGUCAAUGUAAUAUAACAUCAUCACUAGACUUAAAAGUACUUACAGAAAUAACAUAUAGUAACAAUUAUCAAUAUUUUCAUAAAAUUUUAAUGUGAAUUUUCAGAUUUUAUUUAUUAGUUAUAUUAACUAAGAGGACAAGUUAGAAAAUACAAUUUGAGUAUUUUAAGAGCUUUUAAUAGAAGAAUCAUCAACUUCUAGUUCUUUAAAGAGAGAUAGAGCAUCUGACAAAGAAACAACUGCACCCAAAUAUCUUUUUGCUGAAUUUAGUUUAGUUUAUUAUUGAAACUUUUGAUUAAAAAUACUUUUACAAUUUGAAAGGAUGAAUAAAUUUUAAUUAUUUAAUUUAUUAAGUCGGGUAAUUUAGUACUUCACUUCAAGCAUAAAAGUUUUACUUGCAAUUUUUAAUUGAUUGUAAUUACAUGUAUUGAUCUAUUUUAAUUUAAAAUUCUUAAUUGAUUUUUUAAUCCUUAUAUAAUUACAAGUUAUUAUGGGUUGCAAUGUCAAAUUCUAUAAUUAAAAAAUAAUUUCAUAUUUGAGUUGUCUUUUGUUUUCUACUCUUUUUUUAUAAUUAUUUUUGUUUAUAGUACAUAUUUAGAGAGAUAAAGUUCUUGGUAUUCCUCCUUAUUUAAUAUACUUAUUUCUACUUAUAAAUUUUUAUGUUCGCUUCAAAAUACAAAUUUUAAAAUUUAGUCCGGGGUAAUAUUAAAUCCUGGAUCCGCCCCUGCUUAUGUACGUAUACUGUAAUUUGGAUACGUUAUUUAAUUAUAUAUAUAUAUUGUGUAGAUUUACCACAUUAUGUACGUAUAUAAAAUAUAACGUAUAUUGUGUAAACUCUACUAUAAACAAUUAAUAUUUGGUCAUAUUUCUUUUGGCAAAUAACCCCCUGGGAUUUCUUCUUUAUCGCAACAUGAAAUUGAAGAUAUUUAAAAGGUUUUGAAACGUUAUUUUUAUUUUUUUUGAGAAGUUUUGAAACGUUAUUUUAAUUGAAAGGAUUUGCCAUUUUUAAUUUUGGUUGCAAAUAAUAAUUCCUUGGUGGUUACAAUAUUUUUAAAUAUCCCCAUUAAGGCUGUAGGGGCUACAAAUCUUCAUUCUAGAUCUGUAACAUAUGACUAUGAAUUAUAUAUAAAUGAGCUAUUUUUCUUUAUCUUUGGAUAUAUUAUAUACUCUAUUGUUUUCUCCGAAACUCUACGAUAAACAAUUAAUACUUUUCUUUGCAACUUCGACAUUCAAAGACUUGGUUUAUUCUGCAGGUAAAUCGUGCUUAGGAAGAAGAGCGGCAUGAAGAUAUUUGGGUUGUAUUUUGGAGCUGCGAAAUACCGACAAUAUCCGCCCGUGGGGAGGGCUCUUUGACAUUUGGGUUGUAUUUUGGACAUUUGUUCUUCUCCAUAGUACUGGCCGGAUUCUUCAACAAUACCCUAAUACUUCUAAAGUCAAAGACAUGCUUCUCUUUCGUUGAAUAUAUUUGCAUCUCUAGGUGAAAGUUGUAGUGGGUAUUUUCCAUAGAUAUGGCUAUACAUGUAGCAUGACUAGAGUUCAUUUGACGGAAUUAGCCCUUCAAUGGGUUGUCGUUAUAAACCAGAUGGCCAAUAUAAUCAUGCAGCCUAUUUCAGCAAUCUUGUUUAUUAUGAUAUUAAUUUUGUGACUCAAGAAGCUGCAAGUAACAAUAAUACAGGACACCGUACAUAAGCAAGUAAUUAUUUUGGUUGCAAAAUGCAACACUUUCUGGACCAUCUUCUGGUUAUAAUUUCGUUUUUAGAGGACCUGAAGGAAACUGUAGGUGAAUUAGUAAAAUGUAAAUUUUUUUUAUUAUAGACAUUGUAUAAUUGUUUUCAAAUUUGGUAUAGCAAUAAAUAUGAUCUAUGUUUUGGACUGGUAGGUAGGUUUUUAAAAUUCUAUCCCAAAAGUUUAUCUUAAAGUUCUAUCUUAAAUUAUGUGGUCUUCAUUAACUGAUUGGUGUAAUUAAUUUAAUUAAUAAAAAAGGAUCUGAUCCUCUCCUAGACAUUUUUUUUGCCUCCUCCUAAACUUUUAAUGAUCCAUUGACAUGGGCAUUUCAAAAAUGCGCGAAUGUCGCGAGAGCUCAACUCUUUCUUCUAUAGUACUUUUUUCUCUGAAAAGAGUACUAGAAUGAAAGUUUUUUGAAGCCAUUAUGGCUUGCUUUUUGGCCACUCACAAGUUGAGUGUUUCUAUCCCCUCAUUCGGGCUUUAUCUAUUGUCUCUUACAUAACCUUUUCUUUAACCAAUAUUCUUAGUUGCCUUAAAAGUUUCCCGAUAAUAGCUCCAAAAGAUCUCAUUUAUUUCAAGUCUGUCGAGGAAGUGGGUUCUAGCUGCAAAAGUUGCUGCCCGUAGGAAGUUAUGGAUACGGAGGAAUUAAUUAGAAAAUGCCAAGCCAUUGUUUUAAAAGAAGAAGAGGAGGACACAGUAAAGCUGAUGGAAAGAAUGAAGGCUACGGGGGAAAAAAUUGCUGCAAACUGUUUGAUUGGAAAGAUCAUGCUGACCAGAGGAGUAAACAGGGAGGGUUUGAAAACCGCAAUGCAACAGCCAUGGCAGACAGUUAGAGAAGUAAAAGUUGAGAGCAUGGGGGACAAUGUGUUUCUAUUCAAAUUUGCCAAUGAAGUAGAAAGAAGAAGAAUUCUAAAGGGAGGUCCUUGGCACUUUGAUAGGGCUCUCCUGGUACUGGCUGAACCAAGUGGCAUAGGGGACAUAAAAAAACAAUCCUUCACACACACAUCCUUUUGGGUCCAGAUUCACAAUAUCCCAAUAAUGUGCAUGGUAAGAGAGACCAUAAAAAUGCUGGGGGAAAGGAUAGGCAUAGUAGAAGACAUUGAAGCAGAUGAAGCAGGAGAAUGCCUCGGUCAAUUCGCUAGGGUCAGAAUAUCUGUAAAUAUAACACAACCUUUAAAAAAGGUAGUGUAUCUGCAACAAGAGGGGGAAAAGAUACAAAUGCCAGUUCUAUAUGAAAAAUUACCAGACUUCUGUUUCUGUUGUGCCCAUAUUGGUCAUCAAUUUAAAGAGUGCCUCAAUUAUAAAGGACAGCCAAAGGAGGAGCUGCCAUAUAAUGCUUGGAUGAGAGCCCCCUCACAAGCAGAAAGGGUGAAGCUAAACCGAAGCAGGGAGAGAAGAAAUUGGGAACAGUUUCAGAAGAAAACAGGAGAUGAAGAAGUCAAUACACAAAAAUCUUUCCAGUUUCAACACGAUCCAAUAAUUGCAAACGGGUCACUCACAAACAAAACGGGCACCGAAAUGGGAGAUAGAGAUGGACCGAUGAGCAAAAACCGUGAGCCAGCAAUUGGGGAUAACCCAUUAAUGCAGUGUGAUGAGGUGAUGGAAAGCCUGCAACCAAGUGGGAAGAGUAAAAGCGAAGAAACAAAUCAGCAGUAGAGCAUGUCAGCUGACAAAGACGGCUGCACCAGGAACGAAAAUGAAAGGGCGGGAAUUAAAAAGUGGGGGGAAAUUGAAAUUGCGAAGGCAAAAGAAAAAAUCCCAAACAAAGACCAUGCCAAAACAAAUGAGGAGAAAAUGGAUAAUGGGCCGAAAAAUCUACAGCCGAGGCCCAAACCAAGGAAAUGGAAGCUUAGAGCGAGAGUUCAAAAAAUGGAGAAAGGGAGCAGCAGUGAACCAAAAAACUCAAAAAGGCCUAGCACUGAAAUCUCGAGACCCAGCCCCGAAAACAAGAAACAACGAUUGUUAAGUCCUCUCAAACAAUCCAGUGACCAAAAUCAGUUCAGCUCCUCUUCAAUAAAUCACCAGCUGAAGUUAGUUGAUGAAGAACAAGUUGAAGGGGAAGAGGAAGCUGCAAUGGGGGAAAAUAUAUUGGCAGGAGCUGGUAGCCAGCCCCGCUAGCAGCCAUGAGAGUGUUAAGCUGGAACGUUCGAGGUCUGGGGACUCCUCGAACGCGCCUAGCAGUAAAGAAAGUUCUCCACCUGCACCAGCCCCAAAUUUUCUUUUGCUGUGAAACAAAGAUGACGGCUAGGCAGGUUGAUGCGACAUGUGGAAGUUUCAAUUUUGAGAACCGGUUUGUAGUUGAUAGAAAUGGUAUGGGAGGGGGACUGGCUUUAUUUUGGAGCUCGGAUGUUAAUGUCACGAUCAAAUCUUAUAGCUCUCACCAUAUAGAUGCCAUUGUACAGAACCAAAAUGGUAAGAUAUGGAGAUGCACUGGGAUUUACGGCCAUGCUGAGGCAAGUCAGAAACAUCACACUUGGGCAUUGCUGAACAGGUUAGCAGAGCUCUACUCCUAUACUUGGUGUUGCUUAGGAGACUUUAAUGAAAUUCUCUAUUCUCACGAGAAAUUGGGGGGAAAUGACCGAAGCAGUAAUAUGAUGUUAGAGUUUAAAGAGUCUAUCAGAGCCUGUAAUUUGAUGGAUAUGGGUUUUAAGGGGCACAAAUACACAUGGUCCAAUAGGAGAUAUGGGGUUAACUUUAUAGAGGAAAGGCUCGAUAGAGUGCUCUGCAGCAAAGAUUGGGGCAGCACCUUUUAGAAUCUCCCAGCCAUAAGCUUAGUGAACUGGGUUUCGGACCAUUGCCCAAUUAUGUUUGAAGUAAAAGAUUGCUGCAAAAAGCUAAACUACAAGAAAAAUUCCUUCCCCCGUGACCAUUAUGAAGAUAUGUGGAGUUCGUACGAAGCCUGCAGCAACAUCGUGAGGACUGAGUGGGAAAGCUUUGAUGGAAAUAGCUGGGAAAGUCCAGUGCAGAGGUUUCAGAGGGUGGCAAAAAGGUCUUUAGCUCAUCUCAAAAUCUGGGGCAAGGAGGAAUUUGAAGGUAGAAAAAAGAAGCAGAACGAGUUGAUAGAUCGGCUGAAAAUGAAAAAGCAGAAACUUCCACAAGCGAUAGAUGGGGAAGAAAUCAGGAAGCUUGAAGACCAAAUUAGUAACAUGCUGGUCGAUGAAGAAGUCUAUUGGAAGCAGAGAUCGCGUGCAGAUUGGCUAAAAGAAGGGGACAAAAAUACAAAGUUCUUUCACUCCAAAGCAUCCGCUAGGAGAAGGAAGAACAAGAUUUGGGGAGUUGAAGAUGAUCAAGGGAAUUGGGUUGAUGAUCCAGAAGGAAUUGAAGGGGAAUUUUGUGGGUUUUUCCAACAGCUGUUCACUUCCUCUAAACCAAGUCAGCCUCAGAUUUCAGAAGCUCUCAAAGGCUUGCUGCCAAAAUUUUCUCAAGAAAUGAAUACCCACUUAGAGGAGCCUUUCACUCCGGAAGAAAUCACAAGAGCUCUCUCCGAAAUGUGCCCGACUAAAGCCCCGGGACCAGAUGGACUGCCGGCUGCUUUCUUCCAAAAGCAUUGGCAAAUAGUUGGCGAAGGUUUGACAAAAACAUGUCUGCACAUACUAAAUGAGCAAGGUACCCUAGACUCUCUAAAUUAUACUUUUAUUACUCUUAUCCCUAAGGUUGAGAAGCCUAGGAAAGUAAUGGAAUUUAGACCCAUUAGUCUUUGUAAUGUGGUGUAUAGAAUUGUAGCUAAGGCAAUAGCAAAUAGGCUAAAGCCGAUUCUUAACCAUAUUAUCUCACCAAAUCAGAGCGCAUUCAUCCCCAAUAGGCUCAUUACAGACAAUGUUAUUAUUGGUUAUGAAUGCCUCUAUAAGAUUAGACAUAGCAAGGGUCAUAGGAAUGACUUGAUGGCUUUAAAGCUCGACAUAAGCAAAGCUUAUGAUAGAGUUGAAUGGAAUUUUCUGGAACAAACCAUGUCAAAUUUGGGUUUCUCAACCAAAUGGAUAAGCUUGAUCAUGAGCUGCAUUACCACGACUUGUUUCUCAGUUCUUAUUAAUGGGAAUCCAGUGGGCUUGAUAAAGCCGGAAAUGGGACUUAGACAAGGAUGCCCCCUUUCCCCAUAUCUCUUUAUUUUGUGUGCAGAAGCUUUCUCAAACUUGUUGCACCAAGCUGAAAGGGAGCGGAAAAUCAGAGGCCUGAAAUUUGCUCAAGACAUCACAAUAACUCAUUUGCUCUUUGCUGAUGAUAGCUUAGUCUUCAGCAAAGCAUCUAUAGCAGAUUGCAAGUACUUAAAAGGGAUUUUUGAUUGUUAUGCAAAGGCUUCGGGGCAGAUCUUUAACUUCGAAAAAUCCUCUAUGUUCUUCAGCGGCAAGGCUACAAGCGAGCAAAUUUCAGCAAUAAAAAGUAUUUUUCAGCUGAAGGUGGUGCCCAAAUAUGAGAAGUACUUAGGCUUACCUCCCAUGUUAGGCAGGAAUAAGAUGAGUUUUUUUAAGGAGGUUAAGCUCAAAGUGACCAGCAAGAUAUCGAGUUGGCAUCAUAAGCUUUUUUCGGCUGGAGGAAAAGAGAUUCUUAUCAAAGCAGUAGCUCAGGCAGUUCCAGCUUACGCCAUGAGUGUUUUCAAACUUCCCAAAGGCUUAUGUGUAGACAUCCAAAAAGAAAUUGCAAGAUUUUGGUGGGGUACCAAGAAGGACAAGCAUGGAAUUCAUUGGGCACGGUGGGACAGUAUGAGCAAAGCAAAAUGCAGAGGAGGGUUGGGGUUCAGGGACCUCUCUAGUUUCAACCAAGCUUUGGUGGCCAAGCAAGGAUGGAGAUUAGUUCGGUAUCCCAACUCUUUAAUGGCAAGGGUAAUGAAAGCUAGAUAUUACAAGAACUCUACAUUCUGGAAUGCAAAAGUAGGAUCUAAUCCCUCCUUCAUUUGGCGAAGCAUCUUGUGGGGAAGUCAAGUUAUUAAAAAAGGGGUGAGAUGGAGAAUAGGAGAUGGGAAGAAUGUUGUAGUGUACAAAGACAACUGGAUCCCAAGACCAGCCACUUUCCAGCCAAUCUCCCCAAAAACUCUCCCCCCUGAGACUGUAGUGGCUGAUUUAAUCAAUUCGGAAAACAAAUGGCGAGCAGACAAGUUGGAGCAACACUUUAUGAAAGAAGAUAUUGAAGCUAUCCUCAAAAUCCUGCUGCCCAGCGGGAAAGAAGAAGAUGAGGUGUUAUGGCAUUUUGACAAAAAAGGGGAGUAUUCGGUUAAAAGUGGGUAUCAGCUUGCUCUUAAUCAAAACUUUCCCAAUAAGCCAGAAAGCUCAAACAGCAGCUCUAGGCUCUAGAAAAUCCCCUGGAUGCUUGAUUUACCUGAGAAAGUUAAAAUCUUUAUGUGGAGAGCUCUGAAAAAUAUCCUGCCGACGGCUGAAAAUCUUUGGAAGAGAAAGAGCUUGCAAGAACCGAUCUGUCAAAUGUGCAAACUGCAAGUAGAAACGGUAAGCCAUGUUCUGGUAGAGUGCAAAGCAGCAAGGAAGAUUUGGGAUUUAGCUCCAUUACCAGUUCAGCCUUUAAAGGAUCACAACCAAGAUUUUUUCAGUGCUAUCCAAGAGAUGCAGUCCAGGUCUUCAACAGCAGAAGCAAAACUGAUGGUAGUAUACUGUUGGGUGAUAUGGUCAGCAAGAAAUAAAUUCAUUUUCGAAGGAAAGAAAUCUGACUCAAGAAUUUUAGCAGCAAAAGCUGAAUCAGUUUUAAGGGCCUACCAAAGAGUGAGCAAGCCAGGAAAUGUUCAAGGGACUAAGGAUAGAGGAAUUGAUCAGCAGAAAUGGAAGCCCCCCCCCCCCCCCCAAAAAAAUGUUCUGAAACUUAAUGUAGAUGCAGCCGUGAAUAGCAAAAACCAGAAGACAGGUCUGGGAGCAAUUGUCCGAGAUGCAGAGGGAAAGAUUCUAGCUGUAGGUAUCAAGCAAGCUCAGUUCAGGGAGAGAGUCAGCUUAGCAGAGGCAGAAGCUAUUCUUUGGGGGCUACAGGUGGCUAAACAAGUCUCUUCAUCUAGCUUGAUAGCAGAAUCUGACUGUAAAGAAGUGGUAGAGCUUCUAAACAACACUCAGGGCAGUAGAACAUAAAUUCAUUGGAUAUUAUCUGAUGUUCAUAGGGAAAGUAAGGAUUUCCAGCAAGUCCAAUUCUCUUUUUCCCCUAGAACCUGUAAUACUUAUGCCCAUGCCUUAGCAAAGUUUGCUCUAAGGAAUUCUUCCACUGAUGUCUGGAUUGACACAUUUCCAGCUGAAGUGCAGAAUGUAAUGAAUUGUGUUGUUUCCUAAAGAAUGAAAGGUUUAUUUUCUCAUAAAAAAAAAAAAUAUCCAUUGACAUGUGUUGAAAUUAAUAAAUAAAAAAUUAUUUUAUCUUUACCGCUUUAACCCUACCUAAUUUGUGGACCCAUUUUGUCUUCCACGUGAUUGGUAUUAUUACUUUAUUUGUCUUUGUAUGUACUAUUAUUUAUUCUGUGGACCCAUUCAUGCACCCACGUUUCGGACAUGCAAUUUAACCGUAGCCGUUAAUCUUACUUAAUCAUAUGUGCGAUAAAAAUCUGCCGUCGAUCCGUUAUAAGUAAGUACCAACCAUGCGUUAUUAUUCGAUUUGCUACGUUACAAAAUCUUAUUGAUUACGAAACAGAAAACACCUGGGCCUAGGCAAUAUAGUAUUUCUUUUUGGGGGCCCAGCGGGAAAUUGUUAUUCAAUAAUAAUUAAACAAGAACUUGCAAAAGCAACUUAAUUACAAAUAAUAUUUCCUCUAUUCUUAAUCUCAGAAUGAUGAUGAUAAUUGAUCUUGCAGAUCAAUCAUUAAAGUUUAUUUGUUUGACUCUUUAGAAUUUUUGUUGGCCAAUAAAAGGAUGUAUUUUGCUGUUUAAUAAGGUAAGCUCGAAAUAAAUCAAAUCCUAGCCAUACAAAAGUUCAAAUGACAUGAGCCAUAAUCUCUUGCCAAGCUUCAGAAAAAUUAAAUUAAAGUCAAAAUAAACCACUUUGUAAAGUAAAAAUAAACCACUUUGUAAAGUCAAAAUAAAGUCUUCGCCGUCUGCCUCCAGUGACUAACGCCCCAGGCCCUUGAUGAAAUAGAAAUCCGAGCAGUGAAGUCACACUUCUCAUUGAAAACGACUAAUAAAAAUUAAGUUGGAAACUCGAACAGUAGCUAGAUAACCUUACUCUUUUAUAUUUUAAGAAUUUGUUCAGAAAAUAUUACGAUCUCUUCUAACUUAAGUUGAAAUGCCGUUUCUAAUUCUUAUUCUUAUAAAAUGUGUACUUAUCAAUAAAGUUUCUUAUAUAAAAUUUUCAACUAAUAAUGAAUCUUCUUCAUCCAAGAUGCUAAUAUAGUCCUAAAGGUGGUGGUGAUGAAAGAAUGGACAUUAAACCAUUAAACUUCAUCUCGUAGUCUAAAGCGUGGUUGCUGGUCCUCCAUAACACCAAUAAUCUCUCCCUCCGUGACGCGUGACCAGACUAUGAUAUCACUUCUUAUUGUGACUUUUUAGCAAGUCGCCAAUCACUAAAUUGGUCCAGAUUUAACAUGCUUAAUUAUGGAUCUUUCAAAUUAAAGUUUUCAUAUUCCUUUGAAAACUAAAUGGAAAUAAAAUAAAAAAAUGAAUAUUUUGAAAACUAAUUGGAAACCCAUAAGACCAACAGUCUUAUACUAUAAUUUAAAUUUAAUUAUGUUUUAUUGACAAAAAUUAGCUAUUAUCAUUAUGAAAUGCCCAUUUCACUGAACUAUCUUUGAUUAUAAAAUUUAUUUAGCAAUUCCAAGUGAAAUGAUAUUUUGAACGAGGAAAAGACUCAAUUAGACAUUUAGACCGGGCUGCAGUUCUGGCCUCAUUUUGUCCUGAAGCUCAGCCAUGAUCCUGCCAAAGUUUUGGAGCCAUGCUAGCCACAUUUUAUCUUACUAUUAUGCACCACAUUUACUUUUUCGAUCUUGGAGACUGCGACUGGGUCAAACAUAUCCUCAAGCUCCGUUUUAACCUUACGAAAUUUGUGGACCCAUUUUACCUUCACGUGAUCGGUAUUACUACUUUUGUGGACAAGGCUACGUCGCAGUUGCAGACUCAGCUGAGUACCAACAGCUUUUCCUCUCUCCUGCAACGCGUGGAUGCUCCUUGUUUGUCUUCUUAUCUGCAAUUAUUUUCUCUGUGGACCCAUUCAUGCACCCACGUCUCGAAUAUGCAAUUUAACCGUAGCCGUUAAUCAUACCUAACUAUAUGUACGAUAAAAAUUCCGCCGUCGAUCCGCCAUAUGUAAGUACCAAUCAGGCAUUAGUUUUCUAAUAAGACUUUAUUUCAUUUAUUAGCUCAUAUUCAUCCAUGUGUUUAUCAUUCCUAGCUAAUUCGAUUAUUUUCAUUUCCAAGACUAUCUUUAAUAUGUGCAUCAAUUAAUAAAACUGAUUUACCAGAAUUUCCAGCCCCUAGACUUUGCAUCAAUAAUUCACAGGUUGCAAAUUAUUCAAUUUGCAGCUCACAGGCAUGUUUAGAAAAAUGAAACCUAUACAAUAGCAUAUAAAGUGUCUGAUUGCAACAUGUUGUGCAACGCAAAAAAUAAGAUGCAUCAUGUUGUGCAAAUGCAAAUAAAAAUCAGCUACAAUAUAAUGAACAUUAACAAUCUUGCUCAAAGUCAAAAUGAGAUUAUUUGAAUUUUUUCUGAAGAUGUUGGAUUAUAUAAAUAAUCAGUUAAUUAAAAGGUCGUUAUUGGAUUGGUUUCUUAAUUUUAUUUGCACAUAUUAAAGGGCUCAUCUCUAUGUAAGUACUAGUAGCCUGGCUCCCAAAGAUUCCUGAAAUCAUUCCGCAUGAAAGACAUAAAUGCAUCAAACUAAAAUACAAAUGAGCUAAGGAAUGUUAAUGCAUUCAUUAAUUAUUCAAUUUCUUAUCUAAAGACUAAGAUUCUUUUAUUUUUUAUUCUAUCAAUUUAUUAUUACGUAAAACAAUUGCGGGUGAGUAUAUUUAAACUCAUUAGAUCACUCCCUAUAUCCUAAAUCAAUAAAUAAUUUUAUUACAAAAUUACCGAAAAAUCCUUUUAAUUUCUUGAAUACCCAAAAAAGUAAAAUUACCAUUCUAGAUGGAGGAUAAGUCUUUAAAACUGCCUUAAACGCAUCUUAUUUGUUCAUACACACACAAGUUAUUAAACAACCAUGGAUGUUGAACCAAAGUGUCAAACUUAGUUUAUGGUUGUCAAAUUUUCUUCCUAUUGGACAUCUAAAUCGUUUUGCAGUCAGUAACAUAGUCAGAAAAUCAAAUUAGUGGGGUAGAAUGACUGACAUAAAAUAUAAAGAAAAAAAUUUACUGUGUUCUUUAUCUAUUUUUCUAAUAUUUUUAGCAUUCCUCCUUACAUAUGUCUUAAUAGCAUGUUUAAUUUGAAGAAAUAAAAUAAGAAGAGAUGAGAGAUAAGGAGAAUGGGAACAAUAAAUAAGGAAAAAAGAGAUAUACUUAUAUAUUAAAUUAAACAAUGAAAUUGAGAAUGAUCCUAUUUUUUCCCUCAUUUUUUGAUCACUUACUCUAAGAAACCAAAACUUUAAGGAAAGACAGACAAAUCAUAAAGAUUGAAGAGCAGGAAUUUUUGUUCUCCUUUUUAAAUAAAAAAUUUUCAUUUUAAUGGAUUUUUAUUAUUAAAUUAGUCUUUCGCUAUAUCAGAUCAAAUAUAUUAGAUCUUAAAUCUUGUUUUUAAUGAAAUUAAUUACGUUUUGGGCAUUUAAAUUAUGAAAGUGGACAAGAUUUGUGUGUGAUUUUAAAAUAAAUAUGAACUUGAAUUUGAUGCAUUUAAUUAAUCCAAAGAGGCAAAUUUAUAAUUUCAACUUCUAAAUAAAACAUAUCAUUUGAAUUUUAUCAGUGGUUUCUAACAAUAACUGACAGGUCAUUAUAAUAAUUAUAAAUGUAAUAUUUAUUUUUAUAAUUAUACAGUUAUGAUCAAUGCUAUGCUGUAGUGCCGUUCCAAAGGCAACUGCUCCCACUAUUCUCUUAGCGGCUCUGCCACUAAUCGCAUUCUGGCCACAUUUUAUCGUGCUAUUAUGCACCAUAUUUAUUUUUGCAAUCUGCGAGACUGCGACUAGGAUAUGCAUAUGCUCAAGCUCCGGUUUAGUCUUAAUUUGUGGACCCAUUCUACCUCACACGUGAUUGGCAUUACUACUUUGUUUGUCUUCUUAUGUACUAUUAUUUAUUAUGUGGACCCAUUCGUGCACCCACGUUUCGAAUACACAAUUUAACCGCAGCCGCUAAUCUUACCCAAUUUAUGUACGAUAAAAGCUCCGCCGUCGAUCCGUUAUACUUAAGUACCAACCAUGAUCAUGAUUUGAUUAGCUACGUCGCAAAGUCGUAUUGAUUACGAAACACCAACACCUAGGGCCUAGGCAAUAUAGUAUUCUUUUUAGGUGGCCCACGAGGAAAUUGUUGUUGAAUAAUCAUUAAGCAAGAACUUGCAAAAGCAACUUAAUUACAAAUAAUAUUUCCUCUGUUCUUAUUUUCAGUUCAAUUUGGUCCCGAGAAUAAUGAUGAUGAUGAUGAUGUUGACGACAGCAAAAAUAAUAAUUGAUCUUGCAGAUCAAUUAUCAAAGUUUGUUUGUGUGACUCUUGGAAUCUUUGUUGGCCAAUAAAAGGAUGCAUUUUGCUGUUUAAUAAGGCAAGCUCGAAAUAAAUCAAAUCCUAGUCAUACAAAAAUUCAAAUGAUAUGAGCCAUGAUCUCUUGCCAAGCUUCAGACAAGUUAAAUUAUGAACACACAUUUACGCUGUGGACCCAUUCAUGCAUCCCCGUUUCGAUUUUGCAAUUUAACGUAGCCGUUAAUCUUACCUAACCAUCCGUACGAGAAAAACUCCGCCGUCGAUCCGUAUAUGCAUUAUUAUUUUUUUUGGAUUAGGACGAAAUUAUUAUUGAAUAAUAAUUAAAACAAGAAAAUCUGAAUCUUUCUAUGAUUGUAUCAACUUAUUAUGCAUGCCUAUGUUAUUGCCCGGUUGCCUAUGUUAUUGACAUCUACUACGAAGUUAGAAAUUGGUCUUAAUUAAUUAGAUAUGUUUCGAAAUUGGUCUUAAUUAAUUAGAUGCAUUUCUCAUUUGAAUUAUUUGGAGACGUGUAUAAUACAGGUCAAGUUUUCUAAUAAGAGUUUAGUGACUUUAUUUCUUUUAUUGGCUCAUAUUGAUUUAUUUGGUUAUCAUUCCUAGCUAAUUCGAUUAUUUAUCAAUAAUUUUAUUGGACAAAUUCUUUUAUUGGCUAAAAUAAGUUUUUCUUAUUAUUGUUUUUGACGAGAAGGUCUCAAUACAGUUGGAACAAACAAAUUUUUAUCUAUGUCUCGCACUUACAUAAAAUAAAGGAAAAAUUUAUAAUUAUAAAUAAAUUAAGAACCAAUGUCAAUAAUGUAAAAUCAAAUAUUUAAACACUUCUGAGUUUAAGACUUUUUUCUUUCAUAUGUUAGAAAAUAAAAUUUUGAUGGAAUUUUUUUAAAAAAUGAAAUUGGGAAUUAGAAAAUUUCAUUUCCAAGACUAUCUUUCAUUGGCUAUGUCCAAGACGAAACAGAUUAAAAGCAACUUUUGUAAUUUACAAAAUUACUGUAGCAAAUGAGAUGCGAAAGAAAAGACUGCACGUGAUAAUUGCGGUUAGUUUUCCCCUGUUAUCAAUUAUUGCCACCGGAUGGGACCCACGUAAUUCGUCUAAUUGAACUGUACCCGGUUAUUCGCAAUCCACACCGGGCAAACUUGAAUCAUCUAUAUAUAUUACAUCAAAUUGUCAAACCGGAAGCAAGAACUCAAAAAAGCAACUUAACUACUUUCGAACUCUGAUUCCCGUAAGCAGAGAUCUUUCUGAUUUGAAGAACAUGGAAACUACCUGCGCAGGUUUAUAGGCCAACUUUAUUUUAAUAUAUAUCGUUUAUGCUUCUUAUUUUAGUAUAUGCGGUUAUAAAUUAAAUUUUUUAUAUGAAAUUUUCAGGAAAUAACUGGUCAGAGAGUUUCAUCGUUCCUCCGGUGGCCAGUAUUGCUGAUGAUGAUGUCAUGAACGACAAUCUUGAUCUUCUUAAUGUCCCUCAAUAUGGAAGAAAUCCCGACUACAUGGGUUAAGUGCAGCACUGCUUUUUUUUUUUUUUCUGUUUUGUUUAAUUAAAUAAAUGAUAGGUAUACUAUUACCUAUCAAUCAUGGCAAUGUCUUAGUCUGGUUUAAUUCAACUUAUAAGAUUUCUUAAGAUGUACAAGAGAUCUUUUU
rnacentral:lncRNA from 1 species